rnacentral:lncRNA from 1 species
GCAAAGCACCUCCUUGCAGCCUUCCUGCACUGCUCUCCCUGCCAAGCGCCAGCCUGACGUGCCCCAAGCAGGGCUGGAGCUGCGGGAGCCAGAGGGUUCGUCAGCCCCGGCAGGCGGGUGCGCGUUCCUGCUGCCCUCUGCUGUCGUGCUGCCCUGGCCAGACCCCGCUUUGCUCCCAAACCUCCUGCCCUCCCGGGGUGCUUGCGGCGGGGAUGGCCUGGCCAAGGCAUGUGGCGAAGGGAUCUCAGUGACCCAGGAGAGGGAGGGCAGGAACAGGAGGAGCAGGCGAUGCUUCUUGCUGCAGAUGACACCACUGUUGCCUUCCCUCAAGGUCUGCAGCCAACACGGCCCUGGAGAGGACUGGAAACGGCGACAGCAAGAACAAAGCAGAGGAAGCGCUUUACUCCUCGAUCCCUGGAGCUGAGGUACCCAAGGCCGAACAGGGUGCAGGGAAGAAGAAGAGACCCGAGGAGACCUACAUCACCAUGCACCCCUCUCCCUUCCGGGAGAACGGCAUCUACGUGGAGCUGGCCAAGAGGGUGAUCCCGGCAGAAUGGAUGGGAGAGGGGAGACAGGCUGAGGGACGAAGCGAGGAGCCCUGCAGCAGACCAGAGGCGGCACAUCCCUGGGCUCCAGACGGGGAGCAAUAGCCAUGCUGGGGGCUGGAACCCCAUUUCCAGCAGGUGUGUGCACGAGAGCGUUGUUCCUUGGGGCAGGCCGGCACGCCGCAGCCGUCAGCCCUUCCUCUGAGAAACGGUGUCGCUUCACCGCGUGCUCCCUCUGAGAGCUGCUGCUGGGGCACGUCCCACCCUGGCUGUCAGCCACGGGCCCAGGGGACGCGGACUCUCGUGCCCUGGUCUCUGGAGGGAGCACAGCCUCCCCGCUCCAGCUUUGAUCCUGGUCCGUGCAGCUCCAGGUCCUG